rnacentral:rRNA from 1 species
GUGACCUCAAAUCAGGUAGGACUACCCGCUGAACUUAAGCAUAUCAAUAAGCGGAGGAAAAGAAACUAACAAGGAUUCCCCUAGUAACUGCGAGUGAAGCGGGAAAAGCUCAAAUUUAAAAUCUGGCAGUCUUUUGGCUGUCCGAGUUGUAAUCUAGAGAAGUGUUAUCCGCGCUGGACCAUGUACAAGUCUCCUGGAAUGGAGCAUCAUAGAGGGUGAGAAUCCCGUCUUUGACAUGGACUUCCAGGGCUUUGUGAUGCGCUCUCAAAGAGUCGAGUUGUUUGGGAAUGCAGCUCAAAAUGGGUGGUAAAUUCCAUCUAAAGCUAAAUAUUGGCGAGAGACCGAUAGCGAACAAGUACCGUGAGGGAAAGAUGAAAAGAACUUUGGAAAGAGAGUUAAACAGUACGUGAAAUUGCUGAAAGGGAAACGCUUGAAGUCAGUCGCGUCGUCCAGGGAUCAACCUUGCUUUUGCUUGGUGCACUUCCUGGUUUGAUGGGUCAGCAUCAAUUUUGACUAUUGGAAAAAGGUUAAGGGAAUGUGGCAUCUUUGGAUGUGUUUAUAGCCCUUGGUCACAUACAAUGGUUGGGAUUGAGGAACUCAGCACGCCGCAAGGCCGGGUUUAAACCACGUACGUGCUAGAU